UACGUAGGGGGCUAGCGUUGUCCGGAAUCAUUGGGCGUAAAGCGCGUGUAGGCGGCCAGGUAGGUCCGCUGUGAAAGUCCGAGGCUCAACCUCGGAAUGUCGGCGGAAACCCUCUGGCUAAAGUCCGGAAGAGGAGAGUGGAAUUCCCGGUGUAGCGGUGAAAUGCGCAGAUAUCGGGAAGAACACCCGUGGCGAAGGCGGCUCUCUGGAACGGUACUGACGCUGAGACGCGAAAGCGUGGGGAGCGAACAGG
rnacentral:rRNA from 1 species